GCGAACGGACGAGAAGCUUGCUUCUCUGAUGUUAGCGGCGGACGGGUGAGUAACACGUGGAUAACCUACCUAUAAGACUGGGAUAACUUCGGGAAACCGGAGCUAAUACCGGAUAAUAUUUUAAACCGCAUGGUUCAAAAGUGAAAGACGGUCUUGCUGUCACUUAUAGAUGGAUCCGCGCUGCAUUAGCUAGUUGGUAAGGUAACGGCUUACCAAGGCAACGAUGCAUAGCCGACCUGAGAGGGUGAUCGGCCACACUGGAACUGAGACACGGUCCAGACUCCUACGGGAGGCAGCAGUAGGGAAUCUUCCGCAAUGGGCGAAAGCCUGACGGAGCAACGCCGCGUGAGUGAUGAAGGUCUUCGGAUCGUAAAACUCUGUUAUUAGGGAAGAACAUAUGUGUAAGUAACUGUGCACAUCUUGACGGUACCUAAUCAGAAAGCCACGGCUAACUACGUGCCAGCAGCCGCGGUAAUACGUAGGUGGCAAGCGUUAUCCGGAAUUAUUGGGCGUAAAGCGCGCGUAGGCGGUUUUUUAAGUCUGAUGUGAAAGCCCACGGCUCAACCGUGGAGGGUCAUUGGAAACUGGAAAACUUGAGUGCAGAAGAGGAAAGUGGAAUUCCAUGUGUAGCGGUGAAAUGCGCAGAGAUAUGGAGGAACACCAGUGGCGAAGGCGACUUUCUGGUCUGUAACUGACGCUGAUGUGCGAAAGCGUGGGGAUCAAACGGGAUUAGAUACCCUGGUAGUCCACGCCGUAAACGAUGAGUGCUAAGUGUUAGGGGGUUUCCGCCCCUUAGUGCUGCAGCUAACGCAUUAAGCACUCCG
rnacentral:rRNA from 1 species